UGGGGAAUUUUGGACAAUGGGGGCAACCCUGAUCCAGCCAUCCCGCGUGUGCGAUGAAGGCCUUCGGGUUGUAAAGCACUUUUGGCAGGGAAGAAACAGCCUGGGAUAAUACCCCGGGCGACUGACGGUACCUGCAGAAUAAGCACCGGCUAACUACGUGCCAGCAGCCGCGGUAAUACGUAGGGUGCAAGCGUUAAUCGGAAUUACUGGGCGUAAAGCGUGCGCAGGCGGUUCGGAAAGAAAGGUGUGAAAUCCCAGGGCUUAACCUUGGAACUGCACUUUUAACUACCGAGCUAGAGUACGUCAGAGGGGGGUAGAAUUCCACGUGUAGCAGUGAAAUGCGUAGAGAUGUGGAGGAAUACCGAUGGCGAAGGCAGCCCCUGGGAUGAUACUGACGCUCAUGCACGAAAGCGUGGGGAGCAAACAGGAUUAGAUACCCUGGUAGUCCACGCCCUAAACGAUGUCAACUAGCUGUUGGGGUUUUAUUAACCUUAGUAGCGCAGCUAACGCGUGAGUUGACCGCCUGGGGAGUACGGUCGCAAGAUUAAAACUCAAA
rnacentral:rRNA from 1 species